rnacentral:piRNA from 1 species
UGAUGGCGAUGGUACCUUACUCAGAAUAGGU